GUGCGUGCUGGGCUGCUGUCGCGGUAUAAUGGUGCGUGCUGGGCUGGUAUCGCAGUGUAAAUUGCACAUAAUACAGAUUCAUAAACAGCACAAUCAUAAAUAUAAAUCUCUGAACUCUAUAAUGGUACUUAAAAUCUCCUCUCAGCCCUCCACUGUGUCACAGCACCCUAUUGGUGGGUCUUACACUAAUUCCAACGUGGCGAUACAUGGUGCUAGCACUCACUGUCUCCAUUACAGAUUUUAUAAAAUGUGUGUAUUUAUGAUAGCGCGGUUCCUUGGUCUGUAUUAUGUAUACAUUUCGGUCACUAUGGCGACAUAUUCCGGGUGUUUCCCCCAAUUCCCAUGUGUUAUUAUGGGGUAAGUUUGGAAUCCAGGCCAGAUCCCAUGUGGGGUUAAUGCCC